UACUUAUAAGGGGCAUUAUCAGUAUCAAUAUGUGCACACUCAAAAAAUCCAAAAUGCGAUGGCAUGUUUAAAGGACAUGAAUAAAUGGUAUAAGGACAUAGACUUUACGCAGAAUGGGAAAAUCCCUUGCCAGAAGAUGCAUGUUCUGUUUUGAAAGAAUGCAACCCAGUUAAUGACACUCCAUCUGCACCUGAAAGCAGUGACAUUACAACUCAAUCAGACCAGGUGUCGGAUGAUGAAGAAGCUGACCACAUAUAUGAAACUCAAACACACGGGUUACUCUUGGACACAUGUUUGCAACCUAUUGAUAUCGCACAAGAAAUAUUUGAUCAGCAUUUCGAAAGUGUUUUAUCAAUAGCUCCAGCUGAAGGCAACAGUCCUGUUAGGCUGCUGACAGAUAAGGGUAAUGAAGCAAAAUGUUUCCCAACUCUUUUCCCCAAAGGGACAGGUACAUUUCAUGAUGCACGGCCCCACAGGCUCACUCUCAGUAGAUACAUCAACACACAAAUCCUAAAUGCUGAUGGGAGGUUUAGCAGCAACUUGGACUACAUUUUCUAUGCUCAAUAUUUAUCUGAGGUCAAUCAGGUUGUUUCCAAGGUGUCAAUAGCAUUGAGAAAAGGUUACCAUGCAGGGGAAUCAUUGGCUAUAACUUCCGCCAUGCUUUCAAACAAAGACUAUGUACAAAAUAUCUUAAAAACCGAUCUCGGUUACAAGUUCCUUCAACCAAUCCGAGGGACUCCAGUUUUUUGGCAAGGUGUACAGAAAAAUCUAUUUGCUAACGUUCGUCAGCUUGGUGUCCCUACUUGGUUCUGUUCAUUUUCAUGUGCUGAUUUACGCUGGACUGAACUCAUCGAUGUUUUCAUGAGACUACAGAAAAUACAGGGAAAUGUCAACGACCUGGACUGGUCACAGAGGUGCAAUUUACUCAAAACUAAUCCGGUUACCGCGGCAAGAAUGUUCCAACACAGGUUUCAGACUUUCCUAAAUGACGUCAUCAAGUCACCAGCUAACCCCAUUGGUAAAGUUAUCGAGACAUUUUUUAGAGUUGAAUUCCAACAACGCGGCUCACCCCAUACACAUUGUCUGUUCUGGGUAGAAAAUGCACCGAAAAUAGGCAAAAACACAGACCAAGAAGUCACACAAUUUAUAGAUAAAUACAUCAGUUGUGAACUCCCGCCAGCAACCGACGCAUUGCAUGAAGUUGUUUCCAGCGUUCAAAAACACAGCUCCAAGCACUCAAAGAGUUGUAGGAAAAAAGGCACAACAUGCAGAUUUAACUUUCCACGUCCUCCAAGCAACCACACCUUUCUUUGCAGAAGUAAAACAGACGAGAACCAGGAGGUAACAGACGCUGAUCCGAUAGACAUCUCUAUAUUAGAAAUGCGAAAAGAAAAAGAGGUGGCUAAAAGUGUCAUGACAAGGGUCAAACAUGCUCUUUCAAGUCCAGACCUAACCUUUGACACUGUGGAUCAGCUAUUUGCUUCCAUUAACAUCACCCAGGAAACGUUUGAAAAUGCCUACCGAUUGACAACCAAUAAAAACGCGGUUGUACACAAACGCAACCCAUCAGAUGUUUACGUUAAUCAAUACAACAAAGACCUUUUGCGUUGCUGGGAUGCCAACAUUGACAUACAAUAUGUCUGCGAUGCUUUUGCUUGUGUAGUAUACAUAAUAUCCUACAUCUCAAAAGCAGAACAAGACAUGGGCUUAUUGUUACAACAUACUCAAAAUGAAAUGAAAAAACAUGGAAAUUUAGAUGCAAAACAAACACUCAAUAAAUUGGGAAGUGUCUUUCUCCACAAUCGCGAGGUCUCAGCUCAAGAAAGUGUUUAUCGAGUUACAAACAUGCAUCUCAACGAAAGCUCAAGACUGGUCACAUUUAUCCCUACUGGUGAAAAUACCGUCAGAAUGAGUUUUCCUCUCAGUGUCAUUCAAAGCAAAGCAGAACAGGGUGACACAUCAUCAGACUCAAUAUGGAUGACGAGCAUAACGGACCGCUACAAAAACCGCCCCCAGGGCGCAAUUUUCCAUGAUAUUUGUAUAGCCACAUUUGUUUCAAAAUACAGAGUUCUGUACGGGAAAGAGCAGCACAGCAAGGGCUCUGUUAAAC
ensembl:lncRNA